UCAGCAAGGGCCAUAGCUCAGUGGCAGAGCAUCUGUUUCCCACGCAGAAGGUUCCAGGUUCGAAUCCUGGCCUCGGAA